GAAACAGCUCAUCAUUAUUUGUCCUGGAAGCGAGAGAAGCUGGCCUGCUCAAUCUCCGUCCUCCAAAACAGAGUUGGGAAGGGCAAAGAGCUGUGGACAUGUAAAGUUGGCUUCCUCAUCUCCCUUAGUUACUUACGACGCCACCUAUUUUCGACCUCGGUGAACAAAGUUCAAGACAAAUUUUGACAGACUGCUUUCAUGGGUGCGAUGCAGAUGGCCCGUCUCCCAAUCUAUCUGCUCUACUGAGGUUCCUCUUGAUCUCUGCAAGCAUCUUCUAGAGGCAGUUCCUUCCCAACCUGGAUUAUUGCUAUGGCCCUUCUUCUACUGAACUUCUAUAGGACUCGGCCCAUGGGAACUAGAGGAACCUGUAAC
rnacentral:lncRNA from 1 species